CAACCCUCAAAGCUUGCUUUGGUGUUGGAGGAAUACCCAGUAAAACGGGUACCCUCUGAAAUUUAGUGGCGGGCUCGCUAGAAUUUUGAGCGUAGUAAUUUUACCUCGUUUUUAAAGACUAGUGGGACUUCUUGCCGUAAAACCCCCAACUUUCUGAA
rnacentral:misc_RNA from 1 species